rnacentral:lncRNA from 1 species
GAACUUUUCACGGCCUACUGAGGUCUUGAACUCUAACAUGGCUUGAUGCACACUUUGGGAGUCAGCUGGCUCCUUGUUCUGUGGACUGACCGCUCAGUGUUUGGACUACACAGGAAGAGUGUUUCAGAAGCAAGUGUAAUGGGGAAGGUGCUCUACUUCCUGCCUGGGAGGUGAGGGAGGCUGGGAUGGAGGCUUGGAGGUGCAGAUGAAUCCUAUCACCUACAGCAACACCCAUGGGGAGAUGAGGGCUGGAGGCAGUGAUACCAACUCGUCACUCAUUUGCUGAAAGCACCACUAGCUGGCACUUCCUGCUCACGAGCUCAGGGGCUACAGGGACCAGCCCCAGCCCAGUGCCCCCAGUGCCCCCGUUCUUCUCCAGUCAACCUUGCCCAGCACCAAACAGUGUCCUCACACCACUCCAUUUCACAUGCUUCUGUACACAAAGUCCCGGCCGGCAAACCACAUUUAUGACCCACUUGCUGGGAGCUGUGAUGUUUUUAAGAGCCAUUGGCUUGCAUUUUAGUAGCAUGUUAUCUCUUCCUCUCUCUGCAUUUGUCUCCACUUUCGUUAAGUAAAAGUCAAUAGCGUACAAACAUUCCCCUUUCAGACUUUGUCUGGUCUAACCCAGAGAGAAAAACAACCUUGCAGACCCCACCCUCAUCCAGGCUGCACCCGACCCAACUGUGUUCCCAGCAGAAGUUUGCACAUUGCGAUUUCUCCAUUACACUACAUCCAGAUGACUCUUCUGGUGCAGCCCAACCACUGGGGAUCAGACCGGAGAGCCCUAACUGUGAUUUCCAACAUGAUGUGCUAGGAAAUAGAUUGCGUAUGGCCACACAAUGGAAAACUACUCAGCUAUGCCAGAUGUAACCAUGUGUAACCACGUGCAUCAUGUUGAAUGAGAGAAGCCAGACACAACAGAGAAUACUAUAAGACACUCUUUACACGAAAUUUGAAAACAGGUAAAACUCACCAGUGUUCUUGGUGAUGGUCAGUAUGGUGGUCAUCCUGGGGUGGGUAAGAAGGGCUGGCUAAGAGGCUGGCCACACUCUGGUUUUAAUCAGGAUAUGUAGGCAGCUUCAUUAGCUGGAAAUUCAUCAAGCUGGGAUUUACAUGCUUUUCUGUAUGCAUGUUAUCUUCUAAAAAAAGGUUUGUUCUGGACAGAAACUUCCUCCUAGAUCCCAAGCUCACUCUGGAUUCAGUGCCAUUGAGGAAUUUGUAGUUUUAACCAAUUACCUGUCACCAAAAUGACCUAUUCCACUGUUCCCCAGGAUUUCAUUCUUACCCAGAUGCUGAGGACUUUCAGUUCUAUAUCUUUAUUUUUAAUAGUCUCUUCCCAUCUCACUCAACUCCCAAGCAUUUUGCAGCAGCUAUUGGCGUGAUUAAUGAGAAAGGCAGUGAUUUUUUUCCUUCCUGAAUUGUGUGGAGUCAAGGGGGAGGAAAUAGACA